UUCGAGGUAGUGACGAGAAAUAACAAUACAGGGCAUUUUAUGCUCUGUAAUUGGAAUGAUGGGAAUGUAAAACCCUUCCAGAGUAACAAUUGGAGGGCAAGUCUGGUGCCAGCAGCCGCGGUAAUUCCAGCUCCAAUAGUGUAUAUUAGAGUUGUUGCAGUUAAAAAGCUCGUAGUUGGAUUUCUGUCGUGGUCAUCCGGCUCCGCCCGUAUGGGUGUGCGCCUGGUUUGCCCUCGGCUUUCUUCCGGUAGCCUUCCGCGCUUCACUGCGUGUGUUGGUGUUCUGGAACUUUUACUUUGAGAAAAAUAGAGUGUUUCAAGCAGGCUUGUCGCCCUGAAUACUUCAGCAUGGAAUAAUAAGAUA
rnacentral:rRNA from 1 species